ensembl:lncRNA
UCUGAAAGUCUUUUCCUUCUGCAGCUCCUGACGCAGAAGGAAAACUGAUUUCAAGGAGCUUCAGUUCAUUCUCCUAGCUGGGCUGCUAGUCACUGCUGUGCUAUUACAAUUUCAGCUCUGUGUUUUGAGCUGCAGUCUUGUGUCAUGUUCGUAUGAUAAAACAAAUGAGGCUUAAUUUGCAUUGUGUUUCGGAGCAGUAUUGCUGUUACGAUGUCGAUCUUGAAGAUCUACGGCUUUUUUUUUCUGAUUAGGUAUCUUAGUACGUAGUUCAGAUAACUUGCAUUAUGAAUUGACUUUAACAGAAGCAAUUCUACCUCUUAUCGGUUUCAGUAGAUGUUAACUGUCUUAUCUACUGGUUACCAGGAAUGCAGUGUCUCCUGGCCUGAUUUUUAUUUUUGUUUCCUUGAAUAAAACGUUUCUAUCCUACUGCAGCAACAUACCAGGGAAAAUAUUCAAUACAUAACAUAUAAAUAUAAGUAUCUAUGUAAAUUUAUGUAAUGUCUUGAACAUUAACUGAAAAAAAGAAAAUGAUUCACUGUGAUAUUCUUUUUUUUUUGUGCUGUAGGCCAAUAGCCUUUACUGAGCCAAUGCCGAGACUGCCAAGAUAACAGUAGGAGUCUGUAAGUGUAUGAAGUAGUGUGUAACUGGGAACUGUUCUACCUUGAUCACAAGUGGGAAAUGAGGAGAGCAAUGGCUGUCAUUAUGAAAGUGGCUCAAAGAAGUAGAAAAAGUGAAGAAUAUUGGUGAAUAUUGGCAGAAUGUGGGGAAAUCACUGGAUUUGGUUUAUUGAUGCGAUAUGCUCAGCACUUCCCAGUGUUGGAGGUUUAUAGUUUCUAUAGAAAAGCAUUGAACGCAAAGUUCAGCUGAAGUUUUUAAUUGUGCACAAAAGCUUCUCAUGCAUUUUGUUACAACUUUUAACUAAGCCUGUACUACUCGUGUUCCCUUCCGUAGAUAAUAUCUUCUAUUAGUUUCAUGUUCAAUAACAAAGCAAGAUUUUUCAGUGUUUUGGUCACAAAUCCCCUUGACUGGUCAGCAAUUUAAAGGUAAUAUUUUCUCUGUUCAUUUUUUGAGAUUUCUGAUUUAAUUUCUUAAAAGUUUAAACUACUUCUUCAUAUCAAGGGGUUAAAUAAUGUUUUUGAUCUUGUCAAUGUACACAAUAAUCUU